rnacentral:lncRNA from 1 species
CGGAGUCCAGGGCCUGGUGAGAAGAGACAAGUGCAGCUUCACAUGGACUAAUCCAAGUAAGUCAGAUAUUUCAACACCACGAAUGUCGAGGUAUUUAAAAUGGGAACAUGUAAUAUUCGUACGUAUGUAUUGUUUGGUUUGUGCAGCGAGGAGCAGAACGAACGUGAGGCGUCGUUGGUCCAGGAUGAUGUGGACGUUGGAUCACAAAGUGCAUUUACUCAGGUGGAGGUGGAUGUGCAGUGUCCUCGAGCGCUCAGACCACACCCCACUUCUGGUUCAGACAAACCAAGAUGGCGCCGAACAAAAUACUAAACUUGAGGAUUUGAAAACGGCAGUUUACCAACCAGUGGGUGACGUCGCGGUGUGUUGCCAGUUGGACGCCACGCCCCAUCUCCUACGUCCUGAACUCACCGUGUGGCCGUCAGUCAGCGAGGAAGGAGUCGGUUUCCUUUAUUCAGUGUCUUUGCUUUAAAGACAACAGCCCUGCAUAUUUGCUUUUAUCUUGGUGUAAAACAGUUUAAGAGGCAUCUGUCUACACACCAAUAAAUCUGUGACUCGUCCGGUGUGUGUGUGUGUGUGUGUGUGUGUGUGUUUUGUUUUCAGCAGGUCUAACUGGUCUCCGGAGUGUUUGUUACAGGCUGUAAAUGGGACAGUUACUCCGUCCUCCUGUACCACUGGAUACACAUUGCACAAGUAUUUAGCACAUCUAUGUGUGUGUGUUUGUGUGUGUGUGUGUGUGUGUGGAUACAGUACAUGUGUAUGGGCCAUAAGCAUCUGUGAGCAUGUUUGUGUUUGCCAAAAUGGUGUGUAAGUGUUUCUAAUUUAUUGUAUUUCUUGGCAGUGUGUGGGUGUGUGCUUUGGCAAAAGAUGCAGGACUGUGUGUGUGUGUGUGUGUGUGUGUGUGUGUGUGUGUGUGUGUGUGUGUGUGUGUGUGUGUGAGAGACAGGGAGCAGAUGGGGAAUUAGUCCAUCAGCUGUUUAUUCUGCUGACUGUACAGUUUUCAUAAUGACUGGACCUGAGGCACACCCACACACAUACACACACACACACACACACACACACCCCCUCAGUAAACUUGUGUUUCCCUGUUUCCCUUCGCAGUUUUUAACUGUCGUCUCCCGAAAUAAAACGUCUGGAUCUAUUCUAACCGAAGCGCAGCUCUUUAAUCAGGGUGAGAACAAACGCAGUACACAGUCCCUCGUCUCCUCCGCGGUGUCUGAUGAUCAAGUCGCCUCGCGCUCGCAGCAGCUAAAGGUCUUUACAUUGCUAAAUCAGGCCCAACUUCAGAGACACUUUUCUGCUAAAAUAAGAAAAAGCGAAGCAGCACUUU